rnacentral:lncRNA from 1 species
CCUCAGAACAGCUGUGGUUUCCCUGCUCUGCAGCACCUGGAGAGGGUGGGGCAGGGACGGCUCUCCUGAAUUCCAGUCGCUUGGGCCAUUUCUGCUGUGUGUGGCUGUGUGCAGAGAAUUUUUCAGAGCAGGACCUCACUCCUGAAAUGUGUAUACCCUGAGUCCUCACAGAGGGUGUCUACAUGUGUCCCGCAUUUUCAUAAGGAUCACCCAGGCAGAGACAUAGGUCCUCUGGCUGCUCACAGUCACAGUGAUGGUGGCAAAGAUGUCCUCAGGGACCCCAGAAGCAAAAACUGCCAUCUUUCUAGAGGGGGUGGAGAAGACUUCAAAGAAGAGAUUAUCUUGAAGAUGCCCAUAUGCCCAGAUACUCAUACAACAUCAUCAACAACCAUUCGCCUCAGGAACCACUGAAGUAAGCAAGGAGGAAGGUUGAUUUACUAACAUUGCAAGAUUUUCCAUGUGGAGAGGCUCCAAGGAGGUUAUUUCAGCAGCUGUUCAGAGGAGCCAGGUCAUUUCUGUGUGUUUGCCCUGCAAUUCUCAGGUUGGGUUGGCCCUUGAUUGCCCCCCCCCAUGGCUGCCUCAUCUGCAUUGUAUCCACGUACAUGUGAUUGUGUCCAAUAUAAGAGUUAAAAAAUAC